rnacentral:rRNA from 2 species
UGGUGCCAGCAGCCGCGGUAAUUCCAGCUCCAAUAGCGUAUAUUAAAGUUGUUGCAGUUAAAAAGCCCGUAGUUGAACUUCAGACCUGGUGGGGUGGUCCGCUUAACGGCGUGUACUGCUCUGCUGGGCCUUACCUCUUGGUGAGCCGGCGUGGCCUUAACUGGUUGCGUCGGGGAACCAGGACUUUUACCUUGAGAAAAUUAGAGUGUUCAAAGCAGGCCUAUGCCUGAAUACAUUAGCAUGGAAUAAUAAAAUAGGACGUGCGGUUCUAUUUUGUUGGUUUCUAGAGUCGCCGUAAUGAUUAAUAGGGAUAGUUGGGGGCAUUGGUAUUGAGUCGCUAGAGGUGAAAUUCUUGGAUUGACUCAAGACCGACUACUGCGAAAGCAUUUGCCAAGGAUGUUUUCAUUAAUCAAGGACGAAGGUUAGGGGAUCGAAAACGAUCAGAUACCGUUGUAGUCUUAACAGUAAACUAUGCCGACUAGGGAUCGGGCGACCUCAAAUUUGAUGUGUCGCUCGGCACCUUACGAGAAAUCAAAGUUUUUGGGUUCUG